rfam:Nicotiana attenuata strain TT chromosome 7, whole genome shotgun sequence.
UGGCAAUGAUGAAAGAAAGGCCGGACUUACGGCUGCUAUCAUGUGGUUGGCAGUAGAGUGAUGAAACUUACACCAAGGUAUAUCUUCUGAGCCAG